rnacentral:misc_RNA from 1 species
UGAUGCAAGCUGGGAGAGAUUCUAAAACCACAAGAAAAGAGAAAAGAUGAAAAAGAUGCGGUAAUAUAUACAUUUAACGAGAGAACUAAUAUAAAAAACCAUAAAAUGAUCAAACAAGGUCGACUCAAAUCCAUUACUAUUCUGAGAUUUGUUAAUUUUAUACCAAAAAAGUAUUAUCAUAAUCAAUUAGAUCAUCAUUGAAAUUUAAUUUAAUAUCAAUAUUAAGUGUGCAAAGCACUAUUUUGG